UACGUAGGGGGCAAGCGUUGUCCGGAAUCAUUGGGCGUAAAGAGCGUGUAGGCGGCUUGGCAAGUCUGGUGUGAAAUCUUGCGGCUCAACCGCAAGCGGUCACUGGAAACUGCCUCGCUAGAGUCCGGAAGAGGAGAGCGGAAUUCCCGGUGUAGCGGUGAAAUGCGCAGAUAUCGGGAAGAACACCCGUGGCGAAGGCGGUUCUCUGGGACGGUACUGACGCUGAGACGCGAAAGCGUGGGGAGCGAACAGG
rnacentral:rRNA from 1 species